rnacentral:rRNA from 1 species
CCUACGUGAGGCAGCAGUGAGGAAUAUUGGUCAAUGGGCGCGCGCCUGAACCAGCCAAGUAGCGUGAAGGAUGACUGCCCUACGGGUUGUAAACUUCUUUUAUAAAGGAAUAAAGUGAGGCACGUGUGCCUUUUUGUCUGUACUUUAUGAAUAAGGAUCGGCUAACUCCGUGCCAGCAGCCGCGGUAAUACGGAGGGUCCGAGCGUUAUCCGGAUUUAUUGGGUUUAAAGGGAGCGUAGAUGGGUUGUUAAGUCAGUUGUGAAAGUUUGCGGCUCAACCGUAAAAUUGCAAUUGAUACUGGCAGUCUUGAGGACAGUUGAGGUAGGCGGAAUUCGUGGUGUAGCGGUGAAAUGCUUAGAUAUCACGAAGAACUCCGAUUGCGAAGGCAGCUUACUAAACUGCCACUGACAUUGAUGCUCGAAAGUGUGGGUAUCAAACAGGAUUAGAUACCCCUGUAGUC